UUUAGGAGGCAAGAAAAGGCGGAUAUGGCAUUGCGGCUGUGGAAUGAUAUGGUUGAGAAGGGUUUCGUUUCUUAUAUAUUGGUAUCUGACGUGCUGUUUGAUUUGCUUUGUGAUUUGGGAAAACUAAUGGAAGCAGAAAGGUGCUUCUUGCAGAUGGUAGAAAAGGGGCAUAAGCCAAGUAAUGUUUCGUUCAGAAGGAUCAAGGUUCUUAUGGCACUGGCAAACAAGCAUGAGGCCAUGAAGAACUUGACGGAGAAAAUGGCAGUUUUUGGCGCAUCAAUCCGUCUUCUGGAGAGUACAAAGAGCUCAACAGAGACAUCACACUCAGAAUCACUUCUAAUAUAAAAGUGUGUGGGUUACUGAUGGUGUUGUGGAAUUACUGAUGCAGAAAAUGUUUCUGAUUGAUAUGGAAUUAGAAACACUUGAUGGCCCUACUUUUUAGAGUAAUGCCACUGCACACUAUGUGACUCGGUUAUAAUCCUCUUUGUGGUCUUCCUUGAUUGAAUAUGCGCAUGGGCAGCAGCAAUGGAUUGAUUUUGCCGGUUAUUGACGAAAAGUUUUACCUCUGAAUUUCCUCAUGUCGAGAGAGAUACUUUUCGACCUUUAGUUAAUCAGCAUACCUUUCGCAAGCAGAAUCUGUAUUUAGUGGACGUUUGAUGACAAGCCAUCUUUUUUUCCGAAGGGAAACUCUCACGUAUGGUUUUUUUUGAUAACCAGAGACUUUUCCUGUUCUUGGAGCUCCCCAUUUAUGUAUUUUAAAAAGUGGGGGUUUACUUCUUACUCAUCUCAUAUGCAGCUAAUCGACUCUGGAAUGGAACAAAAAAAAAACAAAAAAAUAGAUAAAACUUAGCCUCAGAAUCAUUACAAGUCACUGAAAACGUAACCGCAGAAUGAGCAACACCACUCGGAUGUUUGAUGACGUUUGUAUUUUGUGGGUGCUGAUUUAUUUGUAAUUAUAACUA